GGCUGGGAAAGUUUCGGGGAGCGUUUCGGGGGCCGUGAGGGGAUCCCGCGGCUCAGCCCCGGCGCUCUGAGGGAGAGGAGGGCAAGGCUGCGGCUGUUCCACCGCAGGUCCGGGCGCCGGCCCUCUUCCCCGAAUAGUUUCAGCGGUCGCUGCGCUCUGAUACAAUGGCAUCAGUCCUCUCCUCAAGCUUGACUGUAAGGCAGCCUCCAGAAGCACCAUAUGGUCCCUCGUUCAGCUGCACACAAGUAAAACCCAGCAGUCUUGGGAACCAGACAGAUCCUCUGCCUCUUUCACCUGAAGCAGGAAAGCUCAAUAAGGAUGUUUGUGUUUUAUCCUGGUCUACUGUAGCCAAAUAUGGGGCAGGACAAUAGAAAAAAGAAUUCCAUAGAUAUUACCAUGUAAAAAGUCCUGAGGAUUUAUUUAUUUUCUUAGUAUAAAGAAAUUUUUCUAUAGACUUGAUACAGGUAUGUCCAAUGUAGAUUGUAGAAGGAGAAAAUGCCAGGUUUUAGUGAAGAACUUGGAUCUUUACUAAAAUAAAUAGGAGGGAUAAAUGUGAACUUUGAUUUACAAGGAUCAGAGGGAACUGUGGGCCCAAAAUGAAGAAUGAAAGAAGGAACUGAAAGAUGUAUUUGCAACGCACCCUCGUCAUAAUGAAAUGAAACACCUUUUUUUCUGAGCUCCAGUCUGACUUGAGCCCUAGUGACACUGAUAGUCUCCUAGUCCUUAACAAAAAAAAAUUACUCAGGGCCCAGCCUAAAUCUCUUAACUUACCGUGGUGAUCUUUGAGUUUGUAUCAUGAGCAUGCAGACCACCGAUACUGCUAAUUCUGAAGAAAGGCUUAAAAAGGAAGAAAAAACAUUAUUAAUAUUUUGCUAGGUUAGUGUUUAAUUCCUUGGUUUCCUUGGGAAAGAGUAAGCAUGAUUAUAUUAACAAAUGUAGGCCACUGACGUGAGAAAAAGAAGAGGCUGAAAUUAGUAUGUCAUUCUUAGUGCCCACAUUUUUCUAGAUGCACUAGUACUUGACACUUGUAUUCAAUUUAUUUCUGACAUUUCAGUAAAUUUUUUUUGGAAUUGUGGAUUAAAACUUCCCACCUCAACAUCAAGGAUUUUAUAUAAAACCAAUGAAUCUAAAUGCCUAAGUAUCAAUAGAAAAAUGAUCCCUUCUUCUCUUAUGUAAUUAAAUGUAUUGUAUUAAUGUGUGUAUAAUGCAGAAUCAAUAAAUAAUGAAUUACCACUGAUUGUAAUUGAAUGUUUUCAUAAUUUUAUUGUCAGCCAUGAUAAAUAAUCAGUACAUUUAUACUGCAUUAAAUUAAUUAGUGUGUCAUUUCUAUUACAUACAUCAGCAGUGAAGUAAUGCAGUGACAUCUGUUUCUAAUGUUUUAAAGAUGUGGUAUUCCUUAUUAAGUAAAAGGAAGAGUUAUUAGAGGUAUUUCCUGUGAUUGGCAGUUAUACUGGUACAGUCAAAGAGAUCAAAUAAUGGAACUUGCACUCUUGGCAAAUACUGCAUUUCAGCCCCUGAUGGCAGUGAGUAGCAAUGACUGGAGUGAAUUUUGCUGCUUCAGGCUUUCAGAAAAUCCUACCCACCUUUCUAGAGAAAGUAAGAGUGGAUCUUCUCUUCCUAAUACAGUUAGGGAAGAUUCUAACAUGCAAAAUAAUUAACAGUCUACAGAAGAACUGAGCAUCCACAUCCAUUUCUAUAUUGAUUUUUCUGCCUCAGUCCUCUGAAUGUAAAAAGGAAUUGACAAGGGCAAGAGUAGAAUAGGAAGAGUAAAAUAUACAGAAGGGAACACAGCAAGUAAACUUAAGUUAGACUGUGCCAGAAAGAGGAUUAUUUUUUAAAUGACUAGGUAUUAGAAAAUGAGUGAUCACCUGGGAGCAGGGUGAUGCGAAGUAAAAUACACUGAGCAACAAUUACGGAGUGUCGUAAAGGUCUGGGGGUCAUUAUUAAUGUUGUCUUUUCCAAGACAAUUAUGGACAUCCUUAAUUUUUCUGUACCAUUACACCGUCUUUAAAAAGAACAACUAGAAAAUCUAAUGUUAGGGCUUAUCUUACCAGAGAGUUCAUCAUCCAUAAAACAGCUUUAGAUAGAGCCUUGGGUGACAUGAUCUAGUGUGAGGCAUCCAUGCCCAUGGCAGGAGGUUGGAACUAGAUGAUCUUAAGGUCCUUUACAACCCUAACCAUUCUAUGAAUCUUAAUCGUAAUUUUUUCAUACUAUCAAUGUACAUCAUCAUUUUAAGCAAAACUAAAAAAAAAAAUCUUUUCAGUGCAAGUCUCAGAACUGGCUUUCAACCACUCACUGACUAUCUUUGCACAAAUUUGAGAGAGUGGUCUCUGGAGCAAACAUGUGCAUACAGCAAUUUGUCCACAUGGCUUGCCUUGAAUGCAGGAAACUCCCGCCUCACUUUAAAUCACCUGUCUGGGUAUGACUGACAGCUGCCUAAGUUACUGGCAGUAGCUAUACAUUUAUUACUCUGGAUCCUCUAACAUCAUGUUCCAGUUCUCUGUGAGUCUGCAUCUGUAGGAUUCCUCCCUGUGCAAUUUUUGGGUGUGAUGCUGAGCCUGUGCUUGGGACAGUCCUCAACAGCCACUGCCUUUGUGACAAGCUCUCCUGACCACUUACUAUGGAACCUGAGAAAACUAAAUCACAAAAAAUACUGUCUCAGACAAGGUCCCAUCUACUUUUCCUAUUAAUUAAAAUGUCACUUAAUUGUUUUAAGUGAUGUGCCCUUUAAAGCUUAGACACUGUCACUUUUUGUCUAGAUGAUGUGUAAUUACCUUCCUUCUUAAGGAAAGGAGUAUGUGGUAUAAAAAUGUGACCACUAGUUUUCAGGUUGUUCCAGUGAAAUAUAAGAAAACAAAACUAUGAUGAUUCUAAGAUGAAGUUGUUGCUAAUGAUUAGCUACUUCAAUCUGGUUUUUGAAUUUGAUUGAGGAUACAGUGCAACAAAAUCGCAAAGCCAGGACCUUACUAUAACAAGGCUGUAUUAUAUGAGGUACAAUGAAUUAAGGGUCAGUAUUGGCAUCUUUCCUUCUUCAGGAAGAAAAAAUAAUUCCAUUAGAUGUGUACUGAAGUUAAAAUGCACUUUAUAGCAAACUUCUAUGAACACAAUACUAUGUACUCAAAUAUAUUCAUUAAGUCUUUAUACUUGCUUGUUAAUACUCCCAGAGGAUCAAGAUAAGCCUUAUCUCU